rnacentral:rRNA from 1 species
AACGAACGCUGGCGGCAUGCCUAACACAUGCAAGUCGAACGAGACCUUCGGGUCUAGUGGCGCACGGGUGCGUAACGCGUGGGAACCUGCCCUUAGGUUCGGAAUAACUCUCCGAAAGGGGUGCUAAUACCGGAUAAUGUCUUCGGACCAAAGAUUUAUCGCCUUUGGAUGGGCCCGCGUUGGAUUAGCUAGUUGGUAGGGUAAAAGCCUACCAAGGCGACGAUCCAUAGCUGGUCUGAGAGGAUGAUCAGCCACACUGGGACUGAGACACGGCCCAGACUCCUACGGGAGGCAGCAGUGGGGAAUAUUGGAAAAUGGGCGAGAGGAUGAUCCAGCAAUGCCGCGUGAGUGAUGAAGGCCUUAGGGUUGUAAAGCUCUUUUACCCGGGAUGAUAAUGACAGUACCGGGAGAAUAAGCUCCGGCUAACUCCGUG